AGCCAUUUUCUUGAAGGCUAUUAAGCUUACGACCCUUUCAGAGUACUGAGAUGAAAAAUCUAGAAUGCCUUCGGGUCUAGUUAUCAAUUUUGGGGGUGAAGCGGGGGAAAGAACCUCGCCAGUCAGACCCAGACGGGUUUCAUUCAAGGUGCCCUUCAACGUUUUUCCUUAGUCUUUGGAAAGAACUAGUAAUGAAGGAAUCGCAGAAGAUGGGGUUUUGGCUUUUUAAAUAUGCGAUCCAAGCGGCAGGGUAGGGACUAAAGUAGGUCAACAGCCAACUCCGAGAAAGGAGUGUGGUCCUUUAAGGGUGUGCGCCAAGGGGCGGAGUCUAGAGCGGAAGUAGUAACUCCGGGCCGAAGUCCGGUGGAUGAAGGGCGGAAGUAGAGUGUCUAAUCCUGCAGUCAUGGCGCAGGAAGAGGAAGAUGUUAGAGAUUACAAUUUGACUGAAGAACAGAAGGCGAUCAAGGCCAAGUAUCCGCCAGUCAAUAGGAAGUACGAGUAUUUGGAUCAUACAGCAGAUGUCCAGUUACACGCAUGGGGAGAUACUCUGGAGGAAGCAUUUGAGCAAUGUGCAAUGGCCAUGUUUGGUUACAUGACAGAUACUGGGACAGUGGAGCCCCUCCAAACAGUAGAAGUAGAAACCCAAGGAGAUGACUUACAGUCUCUUCUGUUUCACUUUUUGGAUGAAUGGCUUUAUAAGUUCAGUGCUGAUGAAUUCUUCAUACCCCGGAAAAGGUUGUAAAGGCCAGGCGCGGUGGCUUACGCCUGUAAUCCCAGCACUUUGGGAAGCCGAGGCAGGUGGAUCACCUGAGGUCAGGAGUUCGAGACCAGUCUGACCAAUAAGGAAGUGAAAGUACUUAGCAUUGAUCAAAGAAAUUUCAAAUUACGAUCAAUUGGAUGAGGUCUCCCUAUGUUGCUCAGGCUGUUCUCAAACUCCUGGGCUCAAGCGAUCCUCCCUUUGGCCUCCGGAAGUGCCAGGAUUAUAGGUGGGGAGAAGAAUUUUCAUUGUCCAAGCACCCUCAGGGAACAGAAGUCAAAGCAAUAACAUAUUCAGCAAUGCAGGUCUAUAAUGAAGAGAACCCGGAAGUUUUUGUGAUCAUUGACAUUUAAGACACCAAAAAAUAAAAGACUCCUACGAAGAACUGUUUUUGUUUUCCUCUUCCUUUUGAGAAGACACUAUGAAUUAAAUUCUACAGCUUUUUUUUGAUAUAUGGAAAUUUGUAGAACAGAAAUAUUUUAGUUAAAGUGUGACUUUCAGAAAGGGAAAAUCAGGGCACAGCCUUGGUCUGUGUUCCCCAAAUAUUCACACUUUAAAGAAUUCUUCAACCCCCCAAGGGACAGUUAUGGUCCUUUGAUUCUCUGCUGUGGCAGUAGGUGUGCCUCAUGCCCUUCCAGUGCAAUGCAAGCCCUCCAGCCUCACCCCAGAGAGGAUCACUGAUGUCAGCAGCAGCCUGAGGCUGAAUCCAGGUUGAAAGAAGAAUAACUUGAAAAAAUAUAUUUCCACACACAGAAUUUUGUUUUUCUUCCAAGUUGGUUAAGACAUAUAUUUUGUUUCUUUUUUUUUUUUUUUUUUGAGACGGAGUCUCGCUCUGUAGCCCAGGCUGAAGCGCAGUGGUGUGAGCUCGGCUUACUGCAAGCUCCACCUCCCGGGUUCACGCCAUUCUCCUACCUCAGCCUCCCGAGUAGCUGGGACUAUAGGCACCCGCCACCAUGCCCGGCUAAUUUUUGUAUCUUUAGUAGAGACGGGGUUUCACUGUGUUAGCUAGGAUGGUCUUGAUCUCCUGACCUUGUGAUCCGCCCACCUUGGCCUCCCAAGGUACUGCGAUUACAGGCAUGAGCUACCAUGCCCGGCCACAAGACAUAGAUUUUCUAUAUGCACAUCAAGGGAGGUGCUGGUUUAGGUUGCUAUAGGACAGAGCUAUCCUGUAUUCCAGUUGGUUUUUGUAGAGAAACAAUUAGACUUCUCUAGAUAGAGCCCUGAUUUUUCUCUCACGCUUUCAGUUUUUUAAAAGCACUAAUGAUAUUUCCUGUUUUCUCAUAAGAAAAAGUCAAUACUAUGCCUUACAAAGAGACCUUUCCUUCUAAUAUAGAAUUUUAUUUGAAAGUGAGUACAUGUUUAUAACUAGAGAAUAAAAGGAGAAUUUUUGAAAAA